GUGCUAGGGUUGGAUAGAACUCAGAAGUUAAGCGUGCUCGGGCUGGAGUAGUGUGAGGAUGGGUGACCUUUCGGGGAGUUUGACCAUGGAGUGCGAUUUGACUUGAGAUUAAGCAUAGUGACCCCAGAUUAAGAAAAAAGGAAAAUUAAAAUUGUGAAAAAAAUAAUUUGAAAACAAUUUGUUAGUAAUGGCGGACACGCGCACUGUUGGACAUAGUAACAG
rnacentral:lncRNA from 1 species